rnacentral:ncRNA from 1 species
GAUCGUGUAAUACAUAUGAAAUCGAAUCUUGGAAUUCGAGUUGUCACACGAUACUGACGUGCAAAUCGUUCGUCUGACUUGGGUAUAGGGCGAAAGACUAAUCGAACCGUCUAGUAG